UGCGUGUGGAGCGCUUCCCGGUGGAAGACGACGCGUCCGCGAGCAACUACGCCGCCCAAGUACUUGCUGUCCUCUCCUCCGCCCAGCCUCUGAUUCCCCGCUCGCGAGUGCGGUAUUCCCAUGAUGAUUCCGCCGUCGCCGCGCAUCUCUCCACCAUCCUCGUCCCUCAACGCCCUCUCUGCCAGGCCUCUCUUCCGCGCCGCUUCAAAGGUAGGCAGUCCUCCGUAUAACGUCAGCUCCCGGGGUAACUUUUUGGUGGCUCGUGUAUUCUUGCAGGGAACGGGCGGGUGGCGUAACAGGCCACCAGAGGAAUCUCCAACUUCAUGGAUUCUCUCUUAGCUUCAAGGAACCUGCGAAGAAAUAAUGCCCAAAGCAGAUUUUAAAUAGGUAUUCCGUAUCAUCGAUCAAUCCACUGUAGGAAACGUUUCAUGGACAGUAGUUUUAGAUAAUUAAUUGUAUCUUAUCUGCUAUUCAGUGACCUGUCUGUUUUUUAAAUAUUGAAUAUCACCGAUUCUGCAGGAUUGUUUCACGAUUGAUCUUUAGGUAGAGGUUCUUUAAUGGCAGUUGCAGCUAUACAGUUUCUAGGCCUUACUGCCCUGCUUGUUGGAAAUAGGAAAUACGCACCUAGGAGUAGAUUUAUGGCAGCGUAAUUGUUCUGUUUGUUGUCCUGCUGUAAUGUAAUGGCAGUGGUAAUUUGGAACUUUGCACAUGGCAUGCUUAGGAGUAGAUUAUACAUACCUAGCGAUACUGCUUGAUCCAUGAUUGGUCGCAAUUCGCCACUUUAAUCACACAGUAGGCCUAUAUGACUAUGUUUAUUGCUCUCUAAUUUUGGGUGUUUCUCCUUGAAUAUUAUGUGACCCUGGGUGGGGAAGAUAAACUUUUACCAAGUUAUUAUUGAACACAAGACCCAUCAAGGAACUAGUUUUCUGUGAACACAGUAGUAGGAUAUUGUUGUUGCGAUUCAAUCUGAUGGAUUACUUCCUUUCUCGAAACACUGUCAUGAUGCUUUCACUUCCAAGAGAAAGAAUGUUAAGAAGCUAAAAGAAAGGAUGUUAAGAAGCCAAAAUAAUAUUUAUAUGUAGAGAAAUAUUAUUUGUUGCAGUGUUCAAUAAUCUGGGUUUAAAUUCACGUGAAUCUGCCAACCUUAUGAAUGGGGAUAUUGCCUAUUUUUGGGGCUUUUAAUCUCUACUUGAGCUUACAAAUUUAGCAUUUUUUUGGAAAAUUCUUGAAACAAGCAUAAUUUGUCUUUACUGCCCAGCCUUGGAUUCUAUACGGUAGAUCCGUAUCAUCAUUUUUACUGAAGGUGUACAGACUAAAAUCAAAAUGGAAAACUUUUCUCCAUAGCAUUUAUUUUCUUCUAAUUGUGGAAAUUGGUUGUAUUGUGUGGAAGCUGCUUCAGAAAACGGACUUAUUUUAUGUUGUUUCUAAUCACGCAACAUCCCUAGUAACUUGUGCUAAUUGGUUCUACUUAUUAUUGUAGCAAGAUCACUAGCACACAUGCUGUUGUGUACCCAAUUUCAGUGAUGUCUCUGGUAUGCAUCUAUAUCCUAUACUCAGAAUACUCUUUAGGUGGGAAAUACUUUUUUGUCUGAAAUUUUCUCUUCGUUAAAUACUUGAUGGGUAGAUGGUAUGCUUGAUUUGUUAUUCUACACUCAUUUUUGGCAAAGUAGUAUGUAACUAUUUAGAUUUACCAUUAUGUGAAUGAAAUUGUUAGGAUACACUAGAAGCUAAAUUUUCUUGAUUAACCAUGGUCCGGUAUCGAUAUUUUUUUAGAAAAUAUACAUCUUCCCAUGUGCAUCAGAAUCAGUUUUCGCAAUAUUUGGUUAAAUACACUGAUGAUUCAUCUAAAUUUUUAUCUGCAUGGCUUUCCAUCUAUUGCACACCCAUUAUGCUAUUUGGUCAUUUCUAUUUUUGGCAGUAGGCCAAUAACUUCAACCGAGACACUACUUCUAAACUUUGCUCUCUAUUUAUGUCUAGUUGGGCGCACAGCGGGCAGUGGAUGGCUUUGGUGUAACAUAAAUAAGGUUGUAUACUGAGAGCACAUAUGCUGGCUUAAUGCUAAUUUGUUGCUUUAUUUGGAAGUGGGUAUAUGUUGUCCGGGUACCAAUAAAGGAAUUGGUAUAUGUUAUGGACAAUCCUGUCGGUGUGUUCUCUAUUGGCUUCAACAAUUUUAACGGCGGGUUCGGUUUUGGUCAUAGUGGCAUGCCAAGGGAAGCAGGGACGCAACAAAGGAUCGGAAGAUGCAGUACAACGGCCGAUACUGGAUCUCCCGUCCCCACCAAAGGCCUCAGGCACCCAAUGGCAGUGGCGCCUUGGCUCUUAUCGGUGACUCCAGCAGCAGCGCCUUCGUACCGGAUAUAAGCUCCCUGGACAAGUCUCUCCGGCACUACUUCACUGCAGACUAGCUGGCUAUCACAAUGCGUUGGAGAAAAUUCUAGUGACAGCCAGAAGAUAAGCUACGACAUGAGCUAGCAUGCAAGACAAUGACAUAAUUGUGUUGGUCAGGUGUGAUCUUUCCCAGGGUAGAUAAGUUAUGGGAGUAAUCAGUGCGGGAAGCAAUCUGUAAUUAGUGGCUCUUAAAGCCCUCUUUUCAAAAGCUGGAAUUUCGUGGUACCUGAGUGGAAAUUAUGUUGUUUGGUACGGAAUUCUUAACUUCUAGACAGCCAAUUCAAUUCAGUUAGUACUGAAUCCUUUGGUUAACAGUAGAACAACAUAUGUUUUCCCAAAUUUGAUUA